rnacentral:rRNA from 1 species
AUUGAACGCUGGCGGCAGGCCUAACACAUGCAAGUCGAGCGGAUGAAGGGAGCUUGCUCCUGGAUUCAGCGGCGGACGGGUGAGUAAUGCCUAGGAAUCUGCCUGGUAGUGGGGGAUAACGUCCGGAAACGGGCGCUAAUACCGCAUACGUCCUGAGUGAGAAAGUGGGGGAUCUUCGGACCUCACGCUAUCAGAUGAGCCUAGGUCGGAUUAGCUAGUUGGUGGGGUAAAGGCCUACCAAGGCGACGAUCCGUAACUGGUCUGAGAGGAUGAUCAGUCACACUGGAACUGAGACACGGUCCAGACUCCUACGGGAGGCAGCAGUGGGGAAUAUUGGACAAUGGGCGAAAGCCUGAUCCAGCCAUGCCGCGUGUGUGAAGAAGGUCUUAGGAUUGUAAAGCACUUUAAGUUGGGAGGACGGGCAGUAAGUUAAUCCCUUGCUGUUUUGACGUUACCAACAGAAUAAGCACCGGCUAACUUCGUG